AUUAAACUAAAGACUGCAAAGAGUUCAGGCUUUUUAAGAUAAGCCCAAAACUCAAAACAGCCUGUCUCAAUUCUUAAAAUUAAAACAUUAAAAAAACAACAAAAGAAAAAUAGUAAUAAAAUGAAACGACAGAAAUAAAAGUGCAUUGAAAAAAAUAAACCUAAUACACCCUUAGUCAAUCUUCCAACGGCUGGAAACUAUUAAUCUCUCUUGACAUUUUUUAUCAACUGUCCCAUCUGUUCUAUUCUUUUGACAACAGCACUGCCCAAUAUUUCAUUCUUUGCUAUCUGCUUUUAGAAACAAGUUCUCUCCCAAUCUUCUUAGUUUGGGUUUCUUGCCCAUUGUUCUUCUGCUCUCAUAUCACAGUGAAUCGGUUCCUCAUUCUCUAGGUAAUUUCUCUCGCUAUUCUGUAGUGCCUCAUUUGCGGUAUUAUGGGCUUUUGUGUUUUUUUGUUUUCUGUAUGUGUUUGAACUCGAUCUUCUGGAAAUAUGGUUUCUUGCUCUGGAUAUCUCUGAUAAUUGCUCCAAUAACUAAGUAAUCAGUUGCAGUUGAAUGACAUUUCUUGAUUACUGUUAAUGAAUCGCCCAUUAUUUGUAUUUCUUGUAAACCCAUUUCGAUACCUAACUUGACUGCUUCUAACCCUGCAAAUGUUUCCGCGGCAAACAGAGAAGCAACAUUGCGAUGAAUAAUCGAUUUCAAAGCCAAUACCUCCUUCUUCAGACCCCUGACCACCAACCCCGACGAUGAUUUGAACUCUCUGUUGUUGAACACAACAUCAAACUGGAUCUUCACGGUCGGUAAGUCUUUCACAUUUCUUUAAUUUUGCACUGUAUGUGAUAAAGUCGACUUAACUUUAAUCCCUUUGUAUUCUGCCAUGUGGUUCUGAAUUUUUCGUGCAAGUUCUCUGCUCGUUGUGUGUACCCGUUCAUGCAAAAGUUGAUUCCUUGAAUGCCAAAGUAUCCAUAAGACAUAACAAAAAUAUCUGCAUUGUUCGUUUGUUCCUUAUUUGAAAACCACGGUGAGCCACUCCUAGAAAUUUUGAUGCACGAAAGUUGUGACCCAAGUAAGGUUUAAUAGCUGCCAGACCUCUAUGCUUGUGGAACAUUGCCGAAAAAUAUGAUGACAAUCUUCAUUUUCAUAACAUACCUAGGGCAUCUGGCAUUUGUCACUAAUCUUCUAUGCCGGAGAUUGCCCAAAGUAGGAAUGUAAUUCCAUGAAAUACGCCAGAUUAUGAUUGUAAUCUUAGACGGUAGUUGUAGUUUCCAUAGUUUCUAAAAAAUUUCUUGGUUUCGAUCUGUAACAAAUAAUGACUAGGAUUCAGAUUAACAAUUUGUAAUAGUUUAUAGGCGCUACGGACUGAGUAUUCCUCUGUUGGUUCGCCCCUCCAGACUUGGAAGUCCUCGUGCACUGAUUCCGAUAGUGGGAUCUGUAGGAUUGUGCGAGCAACCUCCGGGUGAAAGGUGUUGUUGAUCAGCUCUUCUUUUCAUUUCCUAGUUGUAGUAUCAAUAAGAUCCGAAACAAAUUCUAGUUGCAUACUAUCUAACUUGUUGUACCUUUUCAGUGAUUCCAUUUCUUGGACCCAUCGAUCAUUCCAGAUGGAUACUUUGUUCCCUUUACCGAUUCGCUAGCUUAGGCUUUGUUUAGCUGCCCAAAUGCUCUUCUAGGUAAGUGAAGGUAAAGUUCCUAAUUGAACCUCUAAGAAAGUCAAAUGCGAAUAAUAUUUUACUUUUAAAACCCUGACUAGUAAUGAAUUAGGAUAAUGAAUCGAAUGCCAUCUUUGUUUAGCAAGUAACGUAACAUUAAAUUGACUCAAAUUUCGAAAGCCUAGGCCGCCAUUCUCUUUUAAAAAACAAAGAUUUUUCCAAGUACACCAAUGAAUUCCCCUUUUCCCAUGUCCCUUCUGCCACCAAUACUUCGUUAUAAUAUUUUCAAGAUCAUCACAAAGGGAAUUAGGUAAUAGAAAACAUGCCAUCGUAUAAGUCGGAACUGCUUGAAGAAUUACUUUAAUAAAGACUUCUUUACCUCUUUGCGAUAAAAACUUGGUACUCUAAUUAUCAAUACGUUUUUUAAGGUGGUCCUUCAAAUUCUGAAAAGCUUUCUUCUUUCUCCUUCCCACCAUAUUCGGCAAUUCCAAAUAGCACUCUGUCUCGUUUGAACUUCGAACACCCAGUAAAUUGACAACCAUUUGCUUUUCUUCUUCUGAAGUGUUUUGCUGAAAAAUACAGUUGAUUUAUCAAAAUUCACACACUGCCCCGAACAAAGUUCGUAUUCUUCCAAUAUAUUUUUGAAUAGAUGCGCCCCUCUUCUUAUGGCUUCCUUAAAUAAGAUACAGUCGUCAGUAAAUAAAAGGUGUAAAAUCGGUGGACCAUUCUUGCUAACCUUCACUCCUCUUAGAAGUCCAUCCCAUUUUGCCAGCCGCAAUAGAUUGGAUAAUCCCUUACCACAUAAAAGAAAUAAAAAUGGGCUUAAUGGAUCACCUUGACAAAGUCCUCUAGUCGGUUGAAAUUUCUCUCCUCGAUGUCCGUUCAUGACCAUUGAAUAAGAAACAGUAGUAACACAUUGCAUAAUAGUAUCUACCCAUCUGUUUGCAAAACCCAUUUGAAUCAUUAUCUACUUUAUAAAUUCCCAUUCGAUCCUAUCAUAAGCUUUGCUCAUAUCGAGUUUAACUGCCAUGAACCCUUUUUUCCCCAUUCUUUUCUGCUUCAACGUAUUCAGGAUUUUGUAGGCUAACAGCACGUUGUCAAAUAUUAGUUUUUCUGGCACAAAGCGCUUUGUGCAGUAUCUAUACAUUUUCCAAUCACACGGUUCGCAAGAGUCUUUGCCAAGAUUUUAUAAAGAACAUUACAAAGACUAAUCGAACGAAAGUGCAUCAUAUUAGAAGGACUAGAAUUCUUCGGGAUUAGUACAAUAUUUGUAAAGUAAAAUGAUCUAACCUCUAUAUCACCGUUUAAAAGAUGUAAGUAGAAAUCGGCAACUUUAUCUCCAAUAAUGUGCCAGCAUUUCUGAUAAAACAGUCCUGGAAAUCUAUAUUCUCUCGGCGCCUUCGUAGAAUCCAUGUCAAACACUGCAAUUUGAAUUUCUUCUUUUGAAAUUUUUUUUGUUAAUUAUUUAUUAUCCUCCUCAUAUAUGCACCGUUCAAUACUUGAUAAAAAAUGGUCAUAAGGACCCCUUUGUUCUGUCGAAAAUAGUUGUUGAAAAUAAGAAUGAGCGAUUCCCUCAAUUUUCUGUAAGGUAUCCGUUUCCCUGCCAUUCUCAGUUUCCAACUUACGAAUACAAUUUUUCUUCUUACGUUGUGUUGCUUGGCUGUGAAAGAAUGCUGUAUUUUUAUCCUCAAAUUUCAACCAAUUUAGUCUGGCCCUCUGUUCCCAAUGCCGUUCAUCCUUCUCUAUUUCAAAAUUUAAUUGUAUUUUUGUAUCAAUCAACUCAGCUAAAUUAUUGUCAUCUCUAUCAGUAUCAUAUAGAUCUAAUAACUUAGCCGUAAAGCCUUCAUCUUCUUCUGUCGGUUCAUUUGAAUCUGUCCAGCCCAUUUGACUAAGCCCUUCUUCAGAUUUUCUAGCUUUUGCAUCAAGUCUCCUGAAGACAUCUCCCAAAUUUUAUUAACCUCACUAAGAAAAGAUUCAUCUAACACCCACUAGGCUUCAAAUUUGAAAAUUUUGUUCCUCAAUCUUCCCUUACAUUGUUUGUAUCAGUUAAAAGUGGAUAAUGGUCUGGAAAAGAAUGUACUAAAUGUUUCACUUUCACCUUCGGGAACAUGGAUAUCCAUCUCGCAUUGGCCACUCCUCUGUCUAACCGUUCUCGAAUAUUUGUCUCUGGAAGGUUGCCUCUUUCCCACGUGAACCAUCUACCAGAAUAUCCUACAUCAGACAUUUGACAAUCCUCCAGAGUUCUUCGAAAUAGAUCCAUUCUCCUUUCAUCCCUAGGUAUCUCUCUCUCUCUUUUUUUUUUCAGAUCCAUACAUUAUUUCAUUAAAAUCCCCAUAAAUAAACCAAGGGAUAUUAUCAACAACUUUUAAACUUCUCAAAACAUCCCACAAAUCAUUCCUGUCUUGUGCAUACGGGGACCCAUAAAAACCUGUAAAUCUCCAUUUGACUCCUAAUUCGCUAUCCUCAAUAUCCACAUCAAUGUACCUUUUUGAAUAAGAGCGAAGAAUGACCGAAACACCCAAUCUCCAUGCCAAACAUAAACCUCCUCUACUGCCCUCUGAAUCAACCUCAACACCAUUUCCAAAACCACAUUUUCGGUGCACCACUUCCAUCUGUCUCUUACCAAGCUUUGUCUCAAUAAAGAAGACAAUUUAGGGAUUAUACGUCUUCAAUAGAUGUCGAAGUCUAGGAAUCGUUCGUGGCCUCCCCAAACCACGGACAUUUUAACUUAAGAUUUUCAUUGCGCUCGGUCGGCUUGCCUCUUGGCAGCCGCCAAUGAUAAUUGGUUAGAUUCCAUCAAUCUCCUGCUCCUUACCAUUAAGCAGUCCAUAUCUUCUCUCUCCAAGAAGUCGUCCCUCGCUUCUCUAUUUCUCUUCUUUCCCUCUUCCCCAAUGAAGACACCUUCCUCCAAGUCAUACUCUAUCAUUGUUUGCAUCAAUUCUGACUGUAUAUUUUCCUUUUGAUUAUCAGAAGAUAAGGAUCCCCCUUUCAGAUUAAAACCCAAUACUGGAUCGAUAAUCUUUUUGCUCUUUCCAUUGUUAUCCACAUUCUAUAUUCGAUUAUUUGGGAUCCAAUUACUUCUCCUAUCCCCUUUACAACUCUCAUCAUUAUCUUCUCGAAGCUAGAUACUGUUCAUCGACAAGGCUCUACGUGAUUGGGCACGCAAAGACAGAUUCCACCCUAAUUCGGUAAUUUCCACCCCAAGCAACAUCUUAGCUUCACAAAACGAGCCGCUAUGCCCCAACUGACCACAGUAGAAACAGAACAGAGAUAAUCACUCAUACUUAAAUCUAACAUAUGAACAUUUUCCAUUGAACAUAACCUAUUUUUUCCUUUUCAAAGGUCGUCUGAUGUUAAUCUGGGCCUUUAUACGCAUGUAAUUACGAUUCUCCUUCCCCAAAUUUGCAUCAUCGUAUUCCAAAAAAUUCCCCAAGAAAUUACCCAAUUGUACUGCUAAUUUUUCAGAAAAUAAACCAACAGGGACAUCGUAAAUUUGGAUCCAAAAAGGGGUAAAUAUUAAUGACACCUUUAACGGGUCUUCCCCCAUUUGCAACUUAUAAAGAACCAACAAGUGAUUAUUAAAAGUCCAAGGUGAACCCUUUAUAACCCGCACCAUAUCAAUUAUGUGAAAAAAUUGGAAUAGGUACCUUUUAUCUCCUAGAUCCUGGAUCUGAACUCCACGAAUCGGAUGCCACAAAUUUGCCAUCGUGCUUUUCAUGGCUGGGAAGUGGAUUAUACUGGCCGUUAGAAAGCAACCUACUAGUUGGAAUUCACUCAUUUCUCUUCCUAUGAAUGAAUCCAUUGGAAUUUCCAAAAUUUAAUCCUCUUCUUCGUUAAGUGUCAGACCUGUUAAUUUAGUUUCCAUUGUUGUAGGUAUCGAACGCCAAACUAAAGAAUCCUUAAAUCAAGCAGGGACUAAAGGCUAAUUAGCAGAGCAAGACUUACAAAAAGAUGAAAGAAUGCCAAAAACAGAAGACAAAAAAAUAAGAAAACCUAGAUACUCAUGCCAGCGGCGGCAGACUUAGACUUGCUAGGGUAGCAGACUCUUCGUGUAUCCUUUAACUUAUAUACUUAAUCAAUUUAUUUAUUAAUUAUAGUUAACCUAAUUAAACAUAAUUAAAUAAAUUAAAUCUAAAUUAACACAUUUAGUGGAUUAAACUUCCACCACAAUUUGGUCAUAAUAUAGUGUUCUAAUUACUCAAUUGGUCCUUUAGCUAAUUAAAAUUUCA
rnacentral:lncRNA from 1 species